GUCUGAGAAAGAGAGCUUCUCAUUGGAUGUGCAGUUGCGACCAUCGCUACAAGAACAAACUUUUUGUUGACCAGUGACCGGCUCGGAGGGGGUUUACGAGUUAGGGAGAAGAGCCAGUUCCGGUCGUGGCCGCGGCUAAAAAUCGCAAUGUGUGACCGACGCUUUACACACACACACAAAAUAUAUAUAUAUAGCCCGAUUAAAUCGAUGUAAGGAGCGUGUCAAAUGGACCCUGAAACAAUGGAAGUCGGUCGUUUUUCGGAUGAGAAGAAAUGCAAUCCGUGUGGUUCGGAUGAGGAACGAAGGAUUGGCCGUAGAAGUGGUGGAAAUUGCCAUUUGGACUGUAAUGUCUACAUUGAAAAUCGCUACCGGCCAAAUUUAUGGGGGGGGUGCGUUUUGUAUGGCGAAAUAAAUCAUCCGUCGUACCAAACUCCCGCAGUUUAUAAACAGUUCAUUAAAUACUAAUAGAUACUUGGCUAUAUUAGAAGAGAAAUGGCUGCCAAUCAUUCAGCGUUUGAACCCACCGAGUAACCGCAUCUUUCGGGAUGACACUACCGAUCAUCGGUAAGUAAUGGAAAAGCAUAAAUAGGCACUCUGUAAUUAGUUGGAUUUCUUUUUUUUGCCUUAAAGAUUCGACAGUUAAUUAGUUAAACUCGUUACAGGUGGAAAAAAUAGUUGGAAAACAAUCCUUUUACCACUCUUAACCGACCAGGGAACAACCGGACCCGAAUUCUAAAGAGAACUGUCACAUUUGGUGGAAGUUGCGGUUACCAGAAAGAAUCCGAAGAGAACUUCGGGAAGUCAUAAGUCGUGUUUGAAACCAGAGACUACCAGUCGAUUAUCUCGGGAACUCGAUCCGGUCGAUAAUUAGCCAUACACGGACACUCUUUCCCGCCGGUUUGGAAUGUCUCCCAGUCUCGCAGGAAAACGCGUAUGUUAGCGCUCAACCACGGGCCAAACUGGGCGUGUAUAACUCCGUACACCAUUCCAUGCGACACCAAAGCGGGUGUAAACUUUGGUGGUUAGUGCGUGCCAGGCUUACACGUUUCGAGUUAGACUUGGCUGUGAAUUUUCAUUCUACUAGAAAACUCAUUUUCGUUGGCAGAGUUCGUGUUGAUAUCUAAAAAAAUGAAUGAUAUAAAAAAUAAAUAAAAUAUUAUUCGUAUGGUUACAUUUGAUUAAAGUAUUAUAAUAACCACGAUAUAUAAUGUCAACUGGCCAAUGAUAUAAUAAAUAAAAAUUUAAUAUUUAAAAGUAUUGGUUUAUUGUAUAGGCAUUUGUAAUAUUUUUAGAUAUUUUCCAAAGGAUUUAUUACAUACAUUACCUAGUUCAUUUUAUAAAUUUUUUUUAUUUAUAUCAAAA
rnacentral:lncRNA from 1 species